UCCAGACUCCUACGGGAGGCAGCAGUGAGGAAUAUUGGUCAAUGGCCGGGAGGCUGAACCAGCCAAGUCGCGUGAGGGAAGACGGCCCUACGGGUUGUAAACCUCUUUUGUCAGGGAGCAAGGUGCAGGUCGGGACCUGCUGUGAGAGUACCUGAAGAAAAAGCAUCGGCUAACUCCGUGCCAGCAGCCGCGGUAAUACGGAGGAUGCGAGCGUUAUCCGGAUUUAUUGGGUUUAAAGGGUGCGCAGGCGGAGGCACAAGUCAGGGGUAAAAUCGCGGGGCUCAACCCCGCUCCGCCGUUGAAACUGACGGUCUUGAGUGGGCGAGAAGUAUGCGGAAUGCGUGGUGUAGCGGUGAAAUGCAUAGAUAUCACGCAGAACUCCGAUUGCGAAGGCAGCAUACCGGCGCCCAACUGACGCUGAAGCACGAAAGCGUGGGUAUCGAACAGGAUUAGAUACCCCUGUA
rnacentral:rRNA from 1 species